rnacentral:lncRNA from 1 species
UACGCACAAAAGAGCAUAAGCAGAAAUGGCAACGUCGGUCCCUGAGAUCGGAUGGUGUGAGAUCAGAUGGGUGUACAGUUUCUUUUGAAUUUCUCCUGCAUUCAGAGACACGCCAAACACCCUAGGAAAAUGGGCCACGUCUGCACAGGGAGAAGAUGGAGCACGGUCCUUUCUGGAAAAGAGCCACUCCCACUGUAUGUAACUGUGACAACAGCAGAGCAAAGCCAUGGCUAUGUUCUCAGAAUCAUUUCCCCUGAACCCUGGGACUCGGAGUCUGAACAGUGGAAG